rnacentral:rRNA from 1 species
CCUACGGGCGGCAGCAGUGAGGAAUAUUGGUCAAUGGGCUUACGCCUGAACCAGCCAAGUCGCGUGAGGGAAGACUGCCCUAUGGGUUGUAAACCUCUUUUGUCAGGGAGCAACGCCGGCUACGUGUAGCCGGACUGAGAGUACCUGAAGAAAAAGCAUCGGCUAACUCCGUGCCAGCAGCCGCGGUAAUACGGAGGAUGCGAGCGUUAUCCGGAUUUAUUGGGUUUAAAGGGUGCGUAGGCGGAAUGCCAAGUCAGCGGUAAAAUCGCGGGGCUCAACCUCGCUCCGCCGUUGAAACUGGCGUUCUUGAGUUGGAGAGAAGUAUGCGGAAUUCGUGGUGUAGCGGUGAAAUGCAUAGAUAUCACGAAGAACUCCGAUUGCGAAGGCAGCAUACCGGCUCCAUACUGACGCUGAGGCACGAAAGCGUGGGGAUCGAACAGGAUUAGAUACCCGGGUAGUC